GUACGGAAUAGCCAUUAGAAAUGGUGGGUAAUACUGUAUAAUCCCCGAGGGGGAAAGAUUUAUCGCUAAGAGAUGAGCCUACGUUAGAUUAGCUAGUUGGUGAGGCGAUGGCUUACCAAGGCUAUGAUCUAUAGCUGGUCUGAGAGGACGAUCAGCCACACUUGAACUGAGAUACGGUCCAGACUCGUACGGGAGGCAGCAGUGGGGAAUAUUGGACAAUGGGCGAAAGCCUGAUCCAGCUAUGCCGCGUGAGUGAAGAAGGCCUUCGGGUUGUAAAACUCUUUCAAUAGGGAAGAUAAUGACGGUACCUAUAGAAGAAGUC
rnacentral:rRNA from 1 species